GUGCCACAGCCCCUCCACCCCGAGACGCAGGACACAGCGGGAAGCAAGGAUAAUGCAGUGUUACCACGAGUGUGAGCAUGACCGGCACUGCAGAACAAGGGUGUCUCAAAAGGAUACAUCGUGACUCCCUUAAGCGUCUCUACUCAGGCAUGGGGGAGUCUCUGAGGGCGUCCUGUGCUUCCCUUUCCCGGUACAGACACGCCCACGCCCACC